rnacentral:rRNA from 1 species
UAGGGAAUCUUCGGCAAUGGGGGGAACCCUGACCGAGCAACGCCGCGUGAGUGAAGAAGGUUUUCGGAUCGUAAAGCUCUGUUGUUAAGGAAGAACGAGUGUGAGAAUGGAAAGUUCAUACUGUGACGGUACUUAACCAGAAAGGGACGGCUAACUACGUGCCAGCAGCCGCGGUAAUACGUAGGUCCCGAGCGUUGUCCGGAUUUAUUGGGCGUAAAGCGAGCGCAGGCGGUUAGAUAAGUCUGAAGUUAAAGGCAGUGGCUCAACCAUUGUAGGCUUUGGAAACUGUUUAACUUGAGUGCAGAAGGGGAGAGUGAAAUUCCAUGUGUAGCGGUGAAAUGCGUAGGUAUAUGGAGGAACACCAGUGGCUAAGGCGACUCUCUGGUCUGUAACUGACGCUGAGGUUCGAAAGCGUGGGUAGCAAACAGG